rnacentral:lncRNA from 1 species
UAUGGGCACGGUGGGGAUGGGAGGAGGUUGGACUUGGGGGUGUUGGAGGAUCUUUCCAACCUGGAUGGUUCUAUGGGCACGGUGGGGAUGGGAGGGGGUUGGACUUGGGGGUCUUGGAGGACCUUCCCAACCUGGAUGGUUCUGUGGGCACGGAGGCGAUGGGUUGGGGUCAGACUUGGGGGUCUUGGAGGAUCUUUCCAACCUGGAUGGUUCUAUGGGCACGGCAGCAAUGGGAGGGGGUUGGACUUGGGGGUCUUGGAGGACCUUCCCCACCUGGAUGGUUCUGUGGGCACAGCGGUGAUGGGAGGGGUCACACUUGGGGGUCUUGAAGGACCUUUCCAACCUGGAUGGUUCUGUGGCCAUGGUGGGGAUGGAAGGGGGUUGGACUUGGGGGUCUUGGAGGACCUUCCCAACCUUGAUGGUUCUGUGGCCAUGGUGGGGAUGGGUUGGGGUUGGGCAUGGUGGGGGUCUUGGAGGACCUUCCCCACCUGGAUGGUUUUAUGGGCACGGUGGGGAUGGGAGGGGGUUGGACUUGGGGGUCUUGGAGGACCUUUCCAACCUGGAUGGUUCUAUGGGCACAGUGGGGAUGGGCUGGGGUCAGACUUGGGGGUCUUGGAGGACCUUCCCAACCUGGAUGGUUCCAUGGCCAUGGUGGGGAUGGAAGGGGGUUGGACUUGGGGGUCUUGAAGGACCUUUCCAACCUGGAUGGUUCCGUGGGCAUGGCAGCAAUGGAAGGGGGUCAGACUUGGGGGUCUUGGAGGACCAUCCCAACCUGGAUGGUUCUGUGGGCAUGGUGGGGAUGGGUUGGGGUUGGGCAUGGUGGGGGUCUUGGAGGACUUCCCCAACCUGGAUGGUUCCAUGGGCACAGCGGUGAUGGGGGGAUUGGACUUGGGGGUCUUGGAGGACUUUUCCAACCGUGAUGGUUCCAUGGCCAUGGUGGGGAUGGGUACGUGGGCAUGGUGGGGAUGUGCAGCACGCAGCACGCAGCACACAGCAGCAUGCAGCACCCAGCACGCAGCACAUAGCAUGCAGCAGCACCCAGCACCCAGCAUGCAGCAGCACCCAGCACGCAGCACCCAGCACGCAGCACGCAGCACCCAGCAUGCAGCACCCAGCACCCAGCAGCACCCAGCACCCAGCACGAAGCACACAGCACCCAGCACCCACGCAGCAUGCAGCAGCACACAGCACCCAGCACGCAGCAGCACCCAGCACCCAGCAUGCAGCAGCACCCAGCACGCAGCACCCAGCACGCAGCACCCAGCACCCAGCACGAAGCACACAGCAUGCAGCACCCAGCACCCAGCACCCAGCACGCAGCACCCAGCACGCAGCACCCAGCAC